rnacentral:lncRNA from 1 species
UGCUGAUUCUCUACCAUUUUCAAAAGAGGAAUUGGAAAAGGGAGAGCUUGUUUAUGUGGUAUUCACAAUAGCGUCUGCUCCUGAAGAAAAUUUUUGGAAAAAUCUCGAGUGUCCUCAGACUGAAAACAGGGAUCCAGUCUGUUGUUCGUGCAGCACUCAGGAGGCGAGCGAGCAUGUGAUACCAGGAAGGGUCCCAUCCCUGCCCUGCUGGGGAGCCCUCAGUGGCGGAGGAUGGAGGCAGCAGACAUUGAAAAUAAGUAUUGACUAGACUUGGUGACAGAAUGGCUCAGCUCAGCUCAGUGAAGAAGGGAGUCCAGAGGCCAAACUUUCAACCCUGGUGGGAUGGCUAUACAGUUAAGUAAAGUAAAAUCAGUAGAAUGGUGUUGGUUUUUUUGCUUCAUGAUGAAUUUAAAGGGACUGCCUUAUCCAGAUAGAAAUAUGUUAAAGAUAUAGGUAGGAGAGGUAGCUACCAUUAAAGAUACAGAUUUGAGAUUAAUGCCACAGAAGGAGAGCUGAAACCACUGUACUACAUAUAACAUGUGCGCACGCGCACUUGUGUUAAACUGGAUUUGUUGGCGUAUCUCCAAUUCAAACCUGGGUCAGGUGAUUAUGUUGUAACUUACUGCCCAGUUACAAUCACAAACUGUUACACCUUCAUCAGAAGGAAGAGCGAGUUCCCUAGAUCGAUGGAUCCUGCCGAGGCACUGAGAGACAGACUUUGCUGGGCCCUGUUUUGUAAACAAAUCUGUUCACGCACGCUUUCUUCUAUCAUUGGAUGUGUACACUGGCUCUGAUUUUCCCACCCGACACGCCAAAGCCUAAGCAUUUAGAAGCUUGUUUUCUUUUAGAAGUAGGCAGGCACCAAAGAAAAACCUGCACAUGCAUUUAAAGUAUGCACAUCUACCCUAAGUCAGUCUUUGGAUCUUUACGAUUUUAACUCUGGGCCAUGUGCAGUGUAUUUCAGCCCACUACACACGGCAGACCUGCGAGACGUCCUGACAGCCCCCACAAAACUAUGGACUGAGCUUAGUGCAAAAGAGAAAGCCCUUCUUACCCUUAAAGUUCAUUGCACGGGCCAUUGUGGG